ACAAGAGGCUGUUCCUGGUUGCUGUUACAGCGUAUUACAGCGGUUUACCUGUCAACAGCGAUUCCCCUGGGCGCUUCAGCUAAAAGAGCAGUUUCCUCUAAAAGAGACCAAUGAUGUCCACGAUCGCUGUCUUCAGUGUGUGGGCCUUCAGCACGCUGAAAUGGUGCUCGUGAAUGAGUCAUGCGUCUAUUGUGGGCGUAUGAUCAUGACAUCCCUGCGAUCGCGUCUCUCUCUCCAAAAGGGGAGUGCAGCAGACCCCUCUGUCACUACCUGUCCUGGUUUCUCUGCCGCGAGCAGAGGACCGCCGGCUAGUACUCUUGGAGAUUUGAGGGUGACAGUGAGAGCUUCUUCGCCGGGCCACGCCCCACAGAUCUCUCACUCCUCCCACAGCACAUGUCCUGUGUGGCUGCCGAGUGGCACUGAUGGGCCGUCUCACGGCGGUCUGCCGGAAGAUCAGAUGUCGAUUGCAUCUUUGGGGAAUGGGCUAUCGGCCUCUGAGGAUGAAGAUUCUCCAGGGCUGCCCCCCUCGGGUGUUGUCGCCACUGCCGAAUCUGACUCAGAGCUGUCAGCCAUGCUUGCCCGGGCAGCUGUGAGCAUCGGGCUGGAGGUGAGUACACCGUCAGGUCCUGAGUGCUCACGGCUGGAUGAUUGGUUUCUGGGUGCGGAGCGCGGCUCACAACCCCAUCUUGCCUCAACCGCGUCCUUCCCGAAGGUGCAUGAAGAGGUGACAAAGUCGUGGACAGCCCCUUUCAUGGCCAGAAGCCGCUUGUCUCCCUCUUCCGUCCUCACUGGUGGGGCAGCUAGGGGGUACGCGGACAUUCCCCAGGUGGUGAGAGUGCUUGCGGUGCACCUGUUCCCGCAAAACUCCGCCACUUGCAGGUAUUGUCUGCGUCUCCUGUCCAAAACCUAUAAGCUGUCGGUGGCUCUCGCUGCCAAAGCUUAUAGUGCUGCGGGCCAAGCUGCCUACGCCCUGCAUGCCAUGGCUAUCCUGCAGGUACACCAGGCCAAGGCGCUAAAACAAAUGCACGAGGGUAGUAUCGACCCGAGGUUGAUGCCGGAGUCACUGCGCAGUCCCUCCCGUGUAGUUCGGGGCUGAUCCCUCAUCUUUCUCGUGAUUAUAAAAAAUAAUAAUAAAAAAAUUGCCACUCCUAAAUGAUAUGUAAAACAAAACAAAUUGUGGUCAGUCACUUUGUAUGUCAUUCAGACUGUCUUUUCCUAAGUGGGUGGUUAUUAGCCAGAAU
rnacentral:lncRNA from 1 species